UACAGAGGGUGCAAGCGUUAAUCGGAAUUACUGGGCGUAAAGCGCACGUAGGUGGAUAAGUAGGUUGGAUGUGAAAGCCCUGGGCUCAACCCGGGAAUGCCAUUCAAAACCGCUUGUCUAGAGUAUGGUAGAGGAAAGUGGAAUUUCCGGUGUAGCGGUGAAAUGCGUAGAUAUCGGAAGGAACACCAGUGGCGAAGGCGACUUUCUGGACCAAUACUGACACUGAGGUGCGAAAGCGUGGGGAGCAAACAGG
rnacentral:rRNA from 1 species